rnacentral:rRNA from 1 species
AUUGAACGCUGGCGGCAGGCCUAAAACAUGCAAGUCGAGCGAGCGGCGGACGGGUGAGUAAUGUCUGGGAAACUGCCUGAUGGAGGGGGAUCACUCCUGGAAACGGUAGCUAAUAACGCAUACCAUCAGAUGUGCCCAGAUGGGAUUAGCUAGUAGGUGGGGUAACGGCGCACCUAGGCGACGAUCCCUAGCUGGUCUGAGAGGAUGACCAGACACACUGGAAUGGAUACACGGUCCAGACGCCUACGUGAGGCAGCAGUGGGGAAUAUUGCACAAGGGGCGCAAGCCGUAUGCAGCCAUGCCGCGUGUGUGAAGAAGGCCGUCGGGUUGUAAAGCACUUUCAGCGGGGAGGCGUUACCCGCAGAAGAAGCACCGGCUAACUCCGUGCCAGCAGCCGCGGUAAUAC